rnacentral:rRNA from 1 species
CAGUCGCCGCGGUAAUACAGAGGGUGCGAGCGUUAAUCGGAUUUACUGGGCGUAAAGCGUGCGUAGGCGGCUUCUUAAGUCGGAUGUGAAAUCCCUGAGCUUAACUUAGGAAUUGCAUUCGAUACUGGGAAGCUAGAGUAUGGGAGAGGAUGGUAGAAUUCCAGGUGUAGCGGUGAAAUGCGUAGAGAUCUGGAGGAAUACAGAUGGCGAAGGCAGCCAUCUGGCCUAAUAAUGACGCUGAGGUACGAAAGCAUGGGGAGCAAACAGGAUUAGAUACCCCAGUAGUCCCUGUCUCUUAUAA